AGAGUUUGAUCAUGGCUCAGAUUGAACGCUGGCGGCAGGCCUAACACAUGCAAGUCGAACGGUAACAGGAAGAAGCUUGCUUCUUUGCUGACGAGUGGCGGACGGGUGAGUAAUGUCUGGGAAACUGCCUGAUGGAGGGGGAUAACUACUGGAAACGGUAGCUAAUACCGCAUAACGUCGCAAGACCAAAGAGGGGGACCUUCGGGCCUCUUGCCAUCGGAUGUGCCCAGAUGGGAUUAGCUAGUAGGUGGGGUAACGGCUCACCUAGGCGACGAUCCCUAGCUGGUCUGAGAGGAUGACCAGCCACACUGGAACUGAGACACGGUCCAGACUCCUACGGGAGGCAGCAGUGGGGAAUAUUGCACAAUGGGCGCAAGCCUGAUGCAGCCAUGCCGCGUGUAUGAAGAAGGCCUUCGGGUUGUAAAGUACUUUCAGCGGGGAGGAAGGGAGUAAAGUUAAUACCUUUGCUCAUUGACGUUACCCGCAGAAGAAGCACCGGCUAACUCCGUGCCAGCAGCCGCGGUAAUACGGAGGGUGCAAGCGUUAAUCGGAAUUACUGGGCGUAAAGCGCACGCAGGCGGUUUGUUAAGUCAGAUGUGAAAUCCCCGGGCUCAACCUGGGAACUGCAUCUGAUACUGGCAAGCUUGAGUCUCGUAGAGGGGGGUAGAAUUCCAGGUGUAGCGGUGAAAUGCGUAGAGAUCUGGAGGAAUACCGGUGGCGAAGGCGGCCCCCUGGACGAAGACUGACGCUCAGGUGCGAAAGCGUGGGGAGCAAACAGGAUUAGAUACCCUGGUAGUCCACGCCGUAAACGAUGUCGACUUGGAGGUUGUGCCCUUGAGGCGUGGCUUCCGGAGCUAACGCGUUAAGUCGACCGCCUGGGGAGUACGGCCGCAAGGUUAAAACUCAAAUGAAUUGACGGGGGCCCGCACAAGCGGUGGAGCAUGUGGUUUAAUUCGAUGCAACGCGAAGAACCUUACCUGGUCUUGACAUCCACGGAAGUUUUCAGAGAUGAGAAUGUGCCUUCGGGAACCGUGAGACAGGUGCUGCAUGGCUGUCGUCAGCUCGUGUUGUGAAAUGUUGGGUUAAGUCCCGCAACGAGCGCAACCCUUAUCCUUUGUUGCCAGCGGUCCGGCCGGGAACUCAAAGGAGACUGCCAGUGAUAAACUGGAGGAAGGUGGGGAUGACGUUAAGUCAUCAUGGCCCUUACGACCAGGGCUACACACGUGCUACAAUGGCGCAUACAAAGAGAAGCGACCUCGCGAGAGCAAGCGGACCUCAUAAAGUGCCUCGUAGUCCGGAUUGGAGUCUGCAACUCGACUCCAUGAAGUCGGAAUCGCUAGUAAAUCGUGGAUCAGAAUGCCACGGUGAAUACGUUCCCGGGCCUUGUACACACCGCCCGUCACACCAUGGGAGUGGGUUGCAAAAGAAGUAGGUAGCUUAACCUUCGGGAGGGCGCUUACCACUUUGUGAUUCAUGACUGGGGUGAAGUCGGAACAAGGUA
rnacentral:rRNA from 1 species